rfam:Tstilago hordei, Th4857-4, WGS project CAGI01000000 data, contig: THOR_scaffold_5.00042
GGUCGUGUGAUGUAGUGGUAAAAGCAUUCCAGAUUUUGACACCCCCUUGAGCACUCUUCUGCAUAUCCAAGGGACACAUUCAAAGGUUCUGGCUACCUGGGUUCGAAUCCCAGCAUGACCC